AAGCUGCAGCAAACUUAAUUUUAAUGAAGUUAAAUUUGCAGAUUUCAUCUUGUAUUUAAUUAAUGACAUUAUGACAACACAAAACCAGAUGCUCCGCAGGGCGCAGCUUUAUACGACCGCAGAGGUUGAACCCUGAACGGUUGGGGCAAGUAUGGACACAACAUUCAAGCUGGAUUUAGCUCUAAAUUUGGAUUGUGAUUAAAUAGUUGACACAGCAUAGGAUUCUGACACAGAAUGAAUGUGGUCUAAUGAACUUAAAAAAAAAUUUUUUGCCUUUGAGCAAUUCACUAUGCUGUUGAAUAUUAAUCUCUCAAAAAAAA
rnacentral:lncRNA from 1 species